UACAGAGGGGGCAAGCGUUGUUCGGAAUCACUGGGCGUAAAGGGUGCGUAGGCCGCACGGAAAGUCAGAGGUGAAAUCCCGGAGCUCAACUCCGGAAUUGCCUCCGAUACUCCCGUACUUGAGGACUGGAGAGGAGUCUGGAAUUCACAGUGGAGCAGUGAAAUGCGUAGAUAUUGUGAGGAACACUAGUGGCGAAGGCGAGACUCUGGACAGUUCCUGACGCUGAGGCACGAAGGCCAGGGGAGCAAACGGG
rnacentral:rRNA from 1 species